rnacentral:rRNA from 1 species
CCUACGGGUGGCAGCAGUGGGGAAUAUUGCGCAAUGGGCGAAAGCCUGACGCAGCGACGCCGCGUGAGGGAUGAAGGUCUUCGGAUCGUAAACCUCUGUCAGCAGGGAAGAACGGUCACUUUGCUAAUCAGCAGUGAAUUGACGGUACCUGCAAAGGAAGCACCGGCUAACUCCGUGCCAGCAGCCGCGGUAAUACGGAGGGUGCGAGCGUUAAGCGGAAUUACUGGGCGUAAAGCGCUCGUAGGCGGUAUGUCAAGUCAAGGGUGAAAUCCCCGGGCUCAACGUGGGAACUGCCGUUGAAACUGGCAAACUGGAGGGUAUGAGAGGAUAGUGGAAUUCCAGGUGUAGGAGUGAAAUCCGUAGAUAUCUGGAGGAACAUCAGUGGCGAAGGCGACUAUCUGGAACAUAACUGACGCUGAGGAGCGAAAGCGUGGGUAGCAAACAGGAUUAGAUACCCUGGUAGUC